GUGGGGAAUAUUGGACAAUGGGCGAAAGCCUGAUCCAGCAAUGCCGCGUGAGUGAAGAAGGCCUUCGGGUUGUAAAGCUCUUUUACCCGGGAAGAUAAUGACUGUACCGGGAGAAUAAGCCCCGGCUAACUCCGUGCCAGCAGCCGCGGUAAUACGGAGGGGGCUAGCGUUGUUCGGAAUUACUGGGCGUAAAGCGCACGUAGGCGGUCUUUUAAGUCAGAGGUGAAAGCCCGGGGCUCAACGCCGGAAUUGCCUUUGAAACUGGAAGACUUGAACACGGGAGAGGUGAGUGGAAUUCCGAGUGUAGAGGUGAAAUUCGUAGAUAUUCGGAGGAACACCAGUGGCGAAGGCGGCUCACUGGACCGUUGUUGACGCUGAGGUGCGAAAGCGUGGGGAGCAAACAGGAUUAGAAACCCGGGUAGUCC
rnacentral:rRNA from 1 species